rnacentral:sRNA from 1 species
ACUCGGCGGUUUGGCGGGAGGGAGGGGCUUUGCGCAGGCCCCGCUCCCGCCCCGCCUCCAUGAGGCCCGCCCCGAUUGCGCUGUGGCUGCGCCUGGUCUUGGUCUUGGCCCUGGCCCUUGUCCGCCCCCGGGCUGUGGGGUGGGCCCCGGUCCGAGCCCCCAUCUAUGUCAGCAGCUGGGCCGUCCAGGUGUCCCAGGGUAACCGGGAGGUCGAGCGCCUGGCACGCAAAUUCGGCUUCGUCAACCUGGGGCCGAUCUUCCCUGACGGGCAGUACUUUCACCUGCGGCACCGGGGCGUGGUCCAGCAGUCCCUGACCCCGCACUGGGGCCACCGCCUGCACCUGAAGAAAAACCCCAAGGUGCAGUGGUUCCAGCAGCAGACGCUGCAGCGGCGGGUGAAACGCUCUGUGGUGGUGCCCACGGACCCCUGGUUCUCCAAGCAGUGGUACAUGAACAGCGAGGCCCAACCAGACCUGAGCAUCCUGCAGGCCUGGAGUCAGGGGCUGUCAGGCCAGGGCAUCGUGGUCUCUGUGCUGGACGAUGGCAUCGAGAAGGACCACCCGGACCUCUGGGCCAACUACGACCCCCUGGCCAGCUAUGACUUCAAUGACUACGACCCGGACCCCCAGCCCCGCUACACCCCCAGCAAAGAGAACCGGCGUGCGGAUGCUGGACGGUACCAUCACCGAUGUCAUCGAGGCCCAGUCGCUGAGCCUGCAGCCGCAGCACAUCCACAUUUACAGCGCCAGCUGGGGUCCCGAGGACGACGGCCGCACGGUGGACGGCCCCGGCAUCCUCACCCGCGAGGCCUUCCGGCGUGGUGUGACCAAGGUGAGUGGCAGCCCGAGGAGGGCAGGGGUGGCAGGCCAGGCCGACGCCCCCUCCCCGCCCCUCCUGGUUUCCCAGGGCCGCGGCGGGCUGGGCACGCUCUUCAUCUGGGCCUCGGGCAACGGCGGCCUGCACUACGACAACUGCAACUGCGACGGCUACACCAACAGCAUCCACACGCUCUCCGUGGGCAGCACCACCCAGCAGGGCCGCGUGCCCUGGUACAGCGAAGCCUGCGCCUCCACCCUCACCACCACCUACAGCAGCGGCGUGGCCACCGACCCCCAGAUCGUCACCACGGACCUGCAUCACGGGUGCACAGACCAGCACACGGGCACCUCGGCCUCAGCCCCACUGGCGGCCGGCAUGAUCGCCCUAGCGCUGGAGGCCAACCCGUUCCUGACGUGGAGAGACAUGCAGCACCUGGUGGUCCGCGCGUCCAAGCCGGCGCACCUGCAGGCCGAGGACUGGAGGACCAACGGCGUGGGGCGCCAAGGUGCGGCGGGGCCGGGCGGGGGCGGGGACCCGGGGCCCACGGGGCGAGUGACUGCUGCCCUUCCGCGCAGUGAGCCAUCACUACGGCUACGGGCUGCUGGACGCCGGGCUGCUGGUGGACACCGCCCGCACCUGGCUGCCCACCCAACCGCAGAGGAAGUGUGCCGUCCGGGUCCAGAACCACCCCACCCCUAUCCUGCCGCUGAUCUACAUCAGGGAAAACGUAUCGGCCUGCGCCGGCCUCCACAACUCCAUCCGCUCGCUGGAGCACGUGCAGGCGCAGCUGACACUGUCCUACAGCCGGCGCGGAGACCUGGAGAUCUCGCUCACCAGCCCCAUGGGCACGCGCUCCACACUCGUGGCCAUACGACCCUUGGACGUCAGCACUGAAGGCUACAACAACUGGGUCUUCAUGUCCACCCACUUCUGGGAUGAGAACCCACAGGGCGUGUGGACCCUGGGCCUAGAGAACAAGGGCUACUAUUUCAACACGGGGACGUUGUACCGCUACACGCUGCUGCUCUAUGGGACGGCCGAGGACAUGACAGCGCGGCCUACA